AUUGAACGCUGGCGGCAGGCUUAACACAUGCAAGUCGAGCGGAGAUGAGGUGCUUGCACCUUAUCUUAGCGGCGGACGGGUGAGUAAUGCUUAGGAAUCUGCCUAUUAGUGGGGGACAACAUUCCGAAAGGAAUGCUAAUACCGCAUACGUCCUACGGGAGAAAGCAGGGGAUCUUCGGACCUUGCGCUAAUAGAUGAGCCUAAGUCGGAUUAGCUAGUUGGUGGGGUAAAGGCCUACCAAGGCGACGAUCUGUAGCGGGUCUGAGAGGAUGAUCCGCCACACUGGGACUGAGACACGGCCCAGACUCCUACGGGAGGCAGCAGUGGGGAAUAUUGGACAAUGAGGGGAACCCUGAUCCAGCCAUGCCGCGUGUGUGAAGAAGGCCUUAUGGUUGUAUAGCACUUUAAGCGAGGAGGAGGCUACUGAGACUAAUACUCUUGGAUAGUGGACGUUACUCGCAGAAUAAGCACCGGCUAACUCUGUGCCAGCCGCCGCAGUAACAC
rnacentral:rRNA from 1 species